UUGGGUUCGACUGGGUCCUGCGGGGCGUC
rnacentral:sRNA from 1 species